rnacentral:rRNA from 1 species
UACCCUGGGAAACCGGGGCUAAUACCGCAUAAGACCGCAAGGUGAAAGGAGCAAUUCGCCAAAGGAGGAGCCCGCGGCUGAUUAGCUAGUUGGUAGGGUAAAGGCCUACCAAGGCUUCGAUCGGUAGCCGGCCUGAGAGGGCACACGGCCACACUGGCACUGAAACACGGGCCAGACUCCUACGGGAGGCAGCAGUGGGGAAUCUUGCACAAUGGGGGAAACCCUGAUGCAGCGACGCCGCGUGAGCGAUGAAGCCCUUCGGGGUGUAAAGCUCUUUCGACCGGAACGAUAAUGACGGUACCGGGAGAAGAAGCUGCGGCUAACUACGUGCCAGCAGCCGCGGUAAUACGUAUGCAGCGAGCGUUGUUCGGAGUUACUGGGCGUAAAGCGUGCGUAGGCGGCCUUCUAAGUCUGGUGUGGAAUCUCCCGGCUUAACCGGGAGGGUGCGCCGGAUACUGGAAGGCCCGGAAUUCCGGAAUAGGUAANCGGAAUUCCUGGUNGUACCGUGAAAUGUGUAAUAUCAGGAGGAACACCGGUGGUGUAAACGG